CCACCCAAGAAAAGUGUGAUGAAGACCACAUGGGGUGUGCUGGAUCCUCCUGUGGGGAAUACCCGGUUGAAUGUCAUUAGGUUGAUAUCCAGCCUGCUUCAAACCAAUACCAGCAGUAUAAAUGGGGACCUUAUGGAGCUGAAUAGCAUUGGAGUCAUAUUGAACAUGUUCUUCAAGUAUACAUGGAAUAACUUUUUGCAUACACAAGUGGAAAUUUGUAUUGCACUGAUUCUUGCAAGUCCUUUUGAAAACACAGAAAAUGCCACAAUUACCGAUCAAGACUCCACUGGUGAUAAUUUGUUAUUAAAACAUCUUUUCCAAAAAUGUCAAUUAAUAGAACGAAUACUUGAAGCCUGGGAAAUGAAUGAGAAGAAACAGUAAGUAAAUUGUUUUUUUGAAAGGAAUUCAGUUUGGUUGGUAAUAUGAGGAAAAUAAUACCUCCUUGCCCUAGUCAGAAAAAAAUGGAAAUAAUUACAUGAUACUGGCCAU
rnacentral:sRNA from 1 species